rnacentral:rRNA from 1 species
AUUGAACGCUGGCGGCAGGCCUAACACAUGCAAGUCGAGCGAGCGGCGGACGGGUGAGUAAUGUCUGGGAAACUGCCUGAUGGAGGGGGAUAACUACUGGAAACGGUAGCUAAUACCGCAUACCAUCAGAUGUUCCCAGAUGGGAUUAGAUAGUAGGUGGGGUAAUGGCUCACCUGGGCGACGAUCCAUAGCUGGUCUGAGAGGAGGACCCGCGACACUGGAACUGAGACACGGUCCAGACUCCUACGGGAGGCAGCAGUGGGGAAUAUUGCACAAGGGGCGAAAGCCUGAUGCAGCCAUGCCGCGUGUGUGAAGAAGGCCUUCGGGUUGUAAAGCACUUUCAGCGAGGAGGCGUUACUCGCAGAAGAAGCACCGGCUAACUCCGUGCCAGCCGCCGCGGUAAUUC